rnacentral:rRNA from 1 species
UUAUUUUAGCGGCGGACGGGUGAGUAACGUGUGGGCAACCUACCUUUUACUGUGGAAUAAUCGUUGGAAACGACGACUAAUACCGCAUACGGUUCUUGGAAGGCAUCUUCUAAGAAAGAAAGGAUUUAUUCGGUAAAAGAUGGGCCCGCAUCUGAUUAGCUAGUUGGUGAGAUAAUAGCCCACCAAGGCAACGAUCAGUAGCCGACCUGAGAGGGUGACCGGCCACAUUGGGACUGAGACACGGCCCAAACUCCUACGGAAGGCAGCAG